rnacentral:rRNA from 1 species
UACGUAGGUGGCAAGCGUUGUCCGGAAUUAUUGGGCGUAAAGCGCGCGCAGGCGGUCUUUUAAGUCUGAUGUGAAAGCCCACGGCUCAACCGUGGAGGGUCAUUGGAAACUGGGAGACUUGGGUGCAGAAGAGAAGAGUGGAAUUCCAGGAGUUAGCGGUCAAAUGCGUAGAUCUCUGGAGGAACACCGAUGGCGAAGGCAGCUUCUUGGCUCAUUUCUGACGCUGAGGCACGAAAGCGUGGGGAGCAAACAGG